GUAGGUGGCAAGCGUUGUCCGGAAUUAUUGGGGCGUAAAGCGCGCGCAGGUGGUUCUUUAAGUCUGAUGUGAAAGCCCCCCCGGGCUCAACCGGGGGAGGGUCAUUGGAGACUGGGGAACUUGAGUGCAGGAGAGGAAAGUGGAAUUCCACGUGUAGCGGUGAAAUGCGUAGAUAUGUGGAGGAACACCAGUGGCGAAGGCGACUUUCUGGCCUGUAACUGACACUGAGGCGCGAAAGCGUGGGGAGCAAACAGGAUUAGAUACCCUGGUAGUCCACGCCGUAAACGAUGAGUGCUAAGUGUUGGGGGGUUUCCGCCCCUCAGUGCUGCAGCUAACGCAUUAAGCACUCCGCCUGGGGAGUACGGUCGCAAAGACUG
rnacentral:rRNA from 1 species